UGGGGAAUAUUGGACAAUGGGCGCAAGCCUGAUCCAGCCAUGCCGCGUGAGUGAUGAAGGCCUUAGGGUUGUAAAGCUCUUUCGGCGGGGACGAUAAUGACGGUACCCGCAGAAGAAGCCCCGGCUAACUUCGUGCCAGCAGCCGCGGUAAUACGAAGGGGGCCUAGCGUUGCUCGGAAUCACUGGGCGUAAAGGGCGCGUAGGCGGACAUUUAAGUCGGGGGUGAAAGCCCAGGGCUCAACCCUGGAAUUGCCUCCGAUACUGGGUGUCUCGAGACCGGAAGAGGUGAGUGGAACUGCGAGUGUAGAGGUGAAAUUCGUAGAUAUUCGCAAGAACACCAGUGGCGAAGGCGGCUCACUGGUCCGGUUCUGACGCUGAGGCGC
rnacentral:rRNA from 1 species